CGAUCCCAGGUAAGGCGGGAUCACCCGCUGAGUUUAAGCAUAUCAAUAAGCAGAGGAAAAGAAACUAACAGGGAUUCCCUUAGUAACGGCGAGCGAACCGGGAAAAGCCCAGCUUAAAAAUCGGAUUGUAGUCUGGAGAAGCGUCCUCAGCGAUGGACCAGGCCCAAGUUCCCUGGAAAGGGGCACCAGAGAGGGUGACAGCCCUGUCGUGCCCGGACCCUGUCGCACCACGAGGCGCUGUCUACGACUCGGGUUGUUUGGGAAUGCAGCCCCAAUCAUGCGGUAAAUUCUGUCCAAGGCUAAAUAUGGGCGAGAGACCGAUAGCGAACAAGUACCACGAGGUAAAGAUGAAAAGGACUUUGAAAAGAGAGUCAAAGAGUGCUUGAAAUUGUCGGGAGGGAAGCGGAUGGGGGCCGGCGAUUCAUCCCGGUCGGAUGCGGAAUGGAGCAAUCCGGUUCGCCGAUAGAUUCGGGCCGUGGACCAACACAGAUUAAGGUGGUG
rnacentral:ncRNA from 1 species